rnacentral:tRNA from 1 species
AUGGUUGUAGUUUAGUGGUAGAACAUACGGUUGUGGUCCGUAAAAUGCGAGUUCGAUUCUCGCCUUCCAUC